rnacentral:tRNA from 2 species
GCGCCGGUGGUGAAGUGGUUAACACAUCAGGUUGUGGUCCUGACAUUCGCGGGUUCAAUUCCCGUUCGGCGCCCCA